rnacentral:lncRNA from 1 species
GUGUUGUGCAACAUACGGGGCUGAGUCAUGGGCAAAGAGACCGCAGCAUCAUGUCAAUGCCUUGUGCCACAGCACUGUGACCCAGCAGGUGGUUGCCAUGGUGACCGCUGCAGUCUUCCCCGCCCACUUUAGCCUGGUAUUUUUGGGAUUCCUGCAGGGUCCCUCCACCUCAUGGAACCCAGUGAUUCCUCGGUCAGAAACUUUCACUGCUGAUAGCACUGCCACUUCUCUUCUUGCAAAGCUGGGAGUUGCUGCACAGAGUGCUCAAGAGUUCUCACUUUCAGGUCCCCAAAGAGGACUGCCCAGACAAUCAAGAUGGCAAAGAUCCUCAUCCUUUCAGCUUCCCAAGAAUCAGCAAAGCCCAAGUCUCAGGAGAGACAGCUGGUCAAACCUGGUUUGGACUGGAGUUGGAGGCACCCAGUGACCAAUCCUGGCAUCCUUUCUCCAAGAAAUCUUCCUGGAGCCUCAGGAAGAAGCAACUGGACCUAACGUCCAAGGGCCACCAACCCUCCUGGAACACAUUUUUCACCGGCUCCUUUGAGUGAGUGCAGCCGGGAAAAUCCAGUUUAUAGAAAUAAAAGCCUGAGCCUUCCCCGCUCCCGAUCACGCUUCCUGCUGCACUGCACCGGCACAGCCCGGCACGGGAGAACCCCGCACCUUGCGGAGAGACCACCGCUGCCAACCACCACGGCUUCUCAGCCCUGCACCUACCUCUGCGGGGACUCCGGGGGAAGCAGAAAUCCGCCCCCGGAUCUGCACCGUAUCAUCGGCCAGGCAGGCAGCGGGAGGCCGUGGGGAUGGAGGGGAGGUUCUGGGGGACGCGGGGGAGAGAAGAGGGAAUCCCCUCCCCCCCCGACAGUCCGCCGAAAUGGUAAGUGUCGAUGAGAGCUAGAUUCCAAGCGGGCAGUGUGACAGGAAGCUUUCGAUUACCCCAUUCCCUAUGCCUCGGAGAAGACAAAAGGGGUUAGAGAGGACGAGGAAGGGGGGGUGGAGAUGGGAGGGAGCUGGGAGGAAGCCGAUCAGCUUAAUUCCAAAGACAGGCUGCGAUCCACUGAACUGAGCUGAGGUAAAGAAGGGGAGGGGAAAAAAGGGAACGAAGAUGAGGAAGAAGAAAGGAAACCUAUGCAGUUCCUGCAGCUAGAAAUGCCCCGGCCCGCUGGUCGCCCGCCGAUACUGACUCAGCAAGCUUGAGUCCCCAGCCUGGUCUGUCUACCUUGAUGGAGUUGUCAAAGGCUCAGGGUUUGGGGGUGGUGGGAGGGGGCCCAGGGUGGCUUCAGAAGGCGGCGAUCAGCACACUCCCACUAGCCUCCCCAGCACAGAGGAGCUGGCUUGAACUGUUUGAGCCUUGUUGGGGGAAGGGGAAGAGGAGGAGGAAAAGCACAUGAGUCACGAGCGAAUGGCUUUUGGGUCCUGUUCACUGGAGUUGUCGCACCUCCCCCCUCCCCAACCACCUCCUGCUGCACACAUGCUGAUGAUCCGUUGCAGCUGAUUUUCGCCCCACGUCUCCAUCUUAGCAUUUCUUCCCAUGACAAAAUUGGUUGCGGCAAACUGACCUCGGGGCUUAACCAGUCAGUCAGUCAGUCAGUCGAUUGUAUUUACUGAGCACUUACUGGGAACACAGCACUGUUCUAAGCGUUUGGGAGAGUACAAUGUAACAAUAAACAGACAUAUUCCUUUCCCACAACAAGCUUACGGACUAGAGGGAGAGACAGACGUUAAUUUGAAUAAAUAGUAGAAAUAAAUGAUAAACUCUACAGACCAGGCUUCAGAACAUCCCCAAACCAACAAGAGGGGAGUCUGCGACCCCUCAGCUGGUCACUGAG